GCGCGCGCGCGGACCGGGCGGUUUGGGCCGGUCGGGCGUGGUCGGACUGGGCCGGUUCGGCCCAUUUUGGCCGGGCCGGUCCGGUUUACCCCUUUUUUUUUCCUUUUUAGGCCUUUUCUUUUUCUGUUUUUCUCAUUUCUUUGAUAUCUUUUGUGUUUGAACUCCAAAUUGGUCCAAAUAAAUUCCAGAAAAUUUGUAAAAUCAUGUUCUACCAUGAUACAACUUUUUGGAAGUAGUUUCUCUUCAAAAUAAAAUAUAUAAAAAUACAUUUGCCCUAUAAAUGACUUUAGGGCUAUAUAUCUGUCUGAAUAAAAUACUUUUUCAACUCCAAUUAGUUAACCAAAAAUUAUGGGAUAGCUUAUAUAUGCAUUAAACCCUUUUUAUGCAUCAACCCUAUUGGUUUGAAAAUCCAAAGGUUACAGGGAUGUAAACAAAAUCUCUUAAAGCCUUUUGUGAUUCAAAAUUUGAACUCAAACAUGCAAUUGUGGCAUGAUGCUCAUGGAUGCAAUGCACAUGUAAAGGUUUGAAAUUUUGGGAUGUUACAGUGUGAGCUGGAGUCUCAGUGAUCACUUUAUCCAACGGGUCACAACAGCUAGAUCAGCCGUGGCCAAGGCUAUAUAAGACGACCCACCCCGAAGGAGUUCGGCGGUGAACCCCAAUGAGUUGUUUUGAAGAACACCUGAUAAAACCCUUAGAGCUGAACUGAGCGUGAAGAAUGGGAUCCCCUCUCUAGCCGAGCACUUGAAUCUUGUUUCUCUUGGUGAUUGGCAUCACCUAGACGGCUAGGAGUCAGUGUUGAAGAGCAAUCGAAGAUUGUGAUUGGCCAUCAACCAGUCUGUAAAGGUCCGGAGAUCACCUCAAGAUCUACCACGACUAACUGGGUGAGACUUUGGUCUUAGCUCAGGAGGAUUGGGUGGACUUGUGUGUCCGCGAGUCUUGUGUGACUCAGCCCCCUCAACGAAGACAU
rnacentral:lncRNA from 1 species